rnacentral:rRNA from 1 species
UGCAGUCGACGGCAGCACGGGGGCAACCCUGGUGGCGAGUGGCGAACGGGUGAGUAAUACAUCGGAACGUGUCCUGUAGUGGGGGAUAGCCCGGCGAAAGCCGGAUUAAUACCGCAUACGCUCUACGGAGGAAAGCGGGGGAUCUUCGGACCUCGCGCUCAUGGGGCGGCCGAUGGCGGAUUAGCUAGUUGGUGGGUUAAAAGGCUACCAAGGCGACGAUCCGUAGCUGGUCUGAGAGGACGACCAGCCACACUGGGACUGAGACACGGCCCAGACUCCUACGGGAGGCAGCAGUGGGGAAUUUUGGACAAUGGGGGCAACCCCGAUCCAGCCAUUCCGCGUGAGUGAAGAAGGCCUUCGGGUUGUAAAGCUCUUUCGGCAGGGAAGAAACGGUUACUCCUAAUAUCAUUGGCUAAUGACGGUACCUGAAGAAUAAGCACCGGCUAACUACGUGCCAGCAGCCGCGGUAAUACGUAGGGUGCGAGCGUUAAUCGGAAUUACUGGGCGUAAAGCGUGCGCAGCGGUGAAGACAGGUGUGAAAUCCCCGGGCUACCUGGGAACUGCCUUGUGACUGCAAGGACUGAGUAUGUCAGAGGGGGGUAGAAUUCC